rnacentral:rRNA from 1 species
CCCCCACUUUUUUAUAUAAGCCCCCCCCCCCCACAACAAAUCUAAGAUAUCUCAAUCAGGGUUCAGCCUGAUUGAGAAAGGACACAACCUCAACCUUAGGAAAAUGACUAAAUUUUUAAUAACGUGACUAAGUUGGCCUAAAAGCAGCCACCUUUUAAAGAGCGUCUAAGCUUCACCCCUUCCCCUCCCCAAUUCAAUUAUUUUCUCAGAACCCAACACCCCUACUGGGUUUUUCUAUAAUUUUAUAGAAGUAAUUAUGUUAGAACUAGUAACACAGAAAUUUUCUCUUGCAUGCAAUCUUAAGUCAGAUCGAAUACAUCACUGACAGUUACCCAGUUUUGAACCUAAAGUAAUAACGCCACCAGAAAACUCUACUAACAACCCUGUUAACCUAACACGAGCGCACGAAAGAAAGAUUAUAAGGCCAGGAAGGAACUCGGCAAACACUAGUCCCGCCUGUUUACCAAAAACAUCGCCUUUUGAACUAUAUAAAAGGUAACGCCUGCCCAGUGACUGCUCGUUAAACGGCCGCGGUACUCUGACCGUGCAAAGGUAGCGUAAUCACUUGUCUUUUAAAUAAAGACUAGUAUGAAUGGCAUCACGAGAACUAAUCUGUCUCCCUCCCCCAAUCAGUGAAACUGAUCUCCCCGUGCAGAAGCGGGGAUAACAUCAUAAGACGAGAAGACCCUGUGGAGCUUCAAAUCAAAAAUCAACUACUAUUCCACACCCCACGGGAUACACCCCUGUAGACAUGAUUUAGAUUUUUAGCUGGGGCGGCUGUGGAGAAAAAAAAAUCCUCCACGAACUCCUUCCUAAGGGCUACUACCCUAAGUAAUAAAAAAUUAAUUUAAUUGACCCAAUUUUUGAUCAACGAACCAAGUUACCCCAGGGAUAACAGCGCAAUCCACUUUUAGAGUCCCUAUCAACAAGUGGGCUUACGACCUCGAUGUUGGAUCAGGGCACCCAAGUGUCGCAGCCGCUUCUUUGGGUUCGUUUGUUCAACGAUUAAAGCCCUACGUGAUCUGAGUUCCAAAACCGGAAAAUAAGGCCGG